UACGAAGGGGGCUAGCGUUGUUCGGAAUCACUGGGCGUAAAGGGCGCGUAGGCGGCUUUGUAAGUCGGGGGUGAAAGCCUGUGGCUCAACCACAGAAUUGCCUUCGAUACUGCAUGGCGUUGAGACCGGAAGAGGUUAGUGGAACUGCGAGUGUAGAGGUGAAAUUCGUAGAUAUUCGCAAGAACACCAGUGGCGAAGGGCGGCUGACUGGUCCGGUUCUGACGCUGAGGCGCGAAAGCGUGGGGAGCGAACAGG
rnacentral:rRNA from 1 species